rnacentral:tRNA from 1 species
GGUAAAAUGGCUGAUUAUAGGUAAUAAAUUGUAAAUUUAUUUAUGAGAUUUUUUCUCUUUUAUCA